UCAAAUUUGAAAUCUGGCCCCAGGCCCGAGUUGUAAUUUGCAGAGGAUGCUUCUGGCGCGGUGCCUUCCAAGUCCCCUGGAACGGGGCGCCACAGAGGGUGAGAGCCCCGUCUGGUUGGCCGCUAAGCCUGUGUGAAGCUCCUUCGACGAGUCGAGUAGUUUGGGAAUGCUGCUCUAAACGGGAGGUAGACCCCUUCUAAAGCUAAAUACCGGCCAGAGACCGAUAGCGCACAAGUAGAGUGAUCGAAAGAUGAAAAGCACUUUGAAAAGAGGGUUAAACAGUACGUGAAAUUGUUGAAAGGGAAGCGCUUGUGACCAGACGUGCUCCGGGGUGCUCAGCAGGCGUUCUCGCCUGUGCACUCGCCCCGUUGCAGGCCAGCGUCGGUUCGCCAGGGGGGAUAAAGGCAUAGGGAACGUGGCUCCUCCGGGAGUGUUAUAGCCCUGCGCGUCAUGCCCCCAGGCGGACCGAGGUACGCGUUCGCAAGGACGCUGGCGUAAUGGUCCCCAGCGGCCCGUCUUGAAACACGGACCAAGGAGUCGAGGUUUUGCGCGAGUGUAUGGGUGAAAAACCCGCACGCGUAAUGAAAGUGGACGCAGGUGGGAGCUUCGGCGCACCACCGACCGAUCCUGAUGUGCUCGGAUGGAUUUGAGUAAGAGCGCAGGGCCUCGGACCCGAAAGAUGGUGAACUAUACGCGGAUAGGGUGAAGCCAGAGGAAACUCUGGUGGAGGCUCGCAGCGGUUCUGACGUGCAAAUCGAUCGUCAAAUCUGCGUAUGGGGGCGAAAGACUAAUCGAACCAUCUAGUAGCUGGUUACCGCCGAAGUUUCCCUCAGGAUAGCAGUGUUGGUCUCAGUUUUAUGAGGUAAAGCGAAUGAUUAGGGACUCGGGGGCGCUAUAUUGCCUUCAUCCAUUCUCAAACUUUAAAUAUGUAAGAAGCCCUUGUUGCUUAAUUGAACGUGGGCAUUCGAAUGCAGCAACACUAGUGGGCCAUUUUUGGUAAGCAGAACUGGCGAUGUGGGAUGAACCAUACGGGGGGUUAAGGUGCCGGAGUGGACGCUCAUCAGACACCACAAAAGGCGUUAGCACAUCUUGACAGCAGGACGGUGGCCAUGGAAGUCGGAAUCCGCUAAGGACUGUGUAACAACUCACCUGCCGAAUGUGCUAGCCCUGAAAAUGGAUGGCGCUCAAGCGUCCCACCCA
rnacentral:rRNA from 1 species